rnacentral:rRNA from 1 species
GUGAGGAAUAUUGGUCAAUGGACGGAAGUCUGAACCAGCCAUGCCGCGUGCAGGAAUAAGGUCCUAUGGAUUGUAAACUGCUUUUAUUCGGGAAUAAACCUCUUUACGUGUAGGGAGCUGAAGGUACCGAAGGAAUAAGCACCGGCUAACUCCGUGCCAGCAGCCGCGGUAAUACGGAGGGUGCAAGCGUUAUCCGGAAUCAUUGGGUUUAAAGGGUCCGCAGGCGGGCUAUCAAGUCAGAGGUGAAAUCCCACAGCUUAACUGUGGAACUGCCUUUGAAACUGAUGGUAUUGAAUUAAGUGGGCGUUGGCGGAAUAUGACAUGUAGCGGUGAAAUGCAUAGAUAUGUCAUGGAACACCGAAAGCGAAGGCAGCUAACGAUACUUAUAUUGACGCUCAUGGACGAAAGCGUGGGUAGCGAACAGGAUUAGAUACCCGAGUAGUCC